rnacentral:tRNA from 1 species
GCACCAUUCGUAUAAUGGAUAAUACACAAGACUUCCAAUCUUGGAAUGAGAGUUCGAUUCUCUUAUGGUGCU